rfam:Cephalotus follicularis DNA, scaffold: scaffold171, isolate: St1.
AGACCAUGAUGAGGACACUCUAAGAGAAGGUCUUUGAAAUGCUCCAUACAUCGAGAGAAUGAUUCAUUGGGUCGCUGGCAAAACUGGAGAAUGUCAUUCCUAAGUUU